AAGUCGUAACAAGGUCUCCAUUGGUGAACCAACGGAGGGAUCAUUACCGAGUCACGUGCUCAAACAACCCUUCUGUGGACCUGAAAUAAACCAUUGCCUCGGCGGACGGUCCCCUGCCAAAACCCCACAUGGUUGUAGACAAAGGACCAGACAGUUCGGCACACUUAAGGCAUCCGACGCCAGCCGCUGGCCCUAACCAAUUAAACUCUAGUAACCUUACCUUCUGAGUUUUAAUGCAAAAAAAUAAGUCAAAACUUUCAACAACGGAUCUCUUGGCUCUG
rnacentral:misc_RNA from 1 species